GGAAGCAGUAAAUUUUCAGGUCCCGACUUAUUUAUAUCUCCAAUUCAGAUGGAGCUGCAGUGAGCUCAAGUCUUCAUUCAUAGAAACAGAAAGAAAUAGAGAGUUUGAAUAGGCAUGGAAACACAAACAGCCUCUAAAUUUCAUGUCCUACUAGUUCCUUUCCCUGGCCAAGGCCAUGUAAAUCCCAUGAUGCAAUUCGCUAGGCGCUUGGUUUCCAAAGGGCUUGAAGCCACCCUUGUUGUUUCCAUUUUCAUUGCCAAAUCCAUGAAGCUUGGCUCCUCCGUCGGCCCUGUGCAGCUCGAUGUAAUUUCCGACGGCUAUGAUGAUGGUGGCUUUCCAAAAUCUAACAGUUUCGACACCUAUCUUGAGCGGCUGAAGGCCGCCGGUUCAAGAACCCUGCCGGACCUCAUCAUGAAGUAUGAGAAGACCCCGAACCCUAUUGACUGUGUGAUAUAUGAACCUUUCUUGCCUUGGGCCUUAGAUGUUGCCAAGGAAUUUGGGUUGCUGGGAGCUGCCUUUUUCACUCAGCCAUGUGCGGUUGAUUAUAUUUACUACAAUAUUCAGCAUAAGUUGCUUUCACUGCCAAUUUCUUCAACCCCAGUGUCGAUUCCAGGAUUGCCUUUGCUUGAGUUGCGAGACUUGCCAUCGUUCGUGCGUUUGCCAGAUUCAUAUCCUGCCAACGCUGAGAUGCUCCUAAGUCAGUUCUCUAACGCAGAUAAAGCUGAUUUUGUACUCAUCAACACUUUCUACAAGCUAGAGCCUGAGGCGGUGGAUACAAUGUCUAAAGUUUGUCCUGUGCUCACAAUUGGACCGACAGUUCCGUCAAUUUACUUGGACAAGCGGAUUGAAGAUGAUGAUAAUUAUGGUGUUGACCUCUUUCCAUUAGAUGCCUCUGUUUCAAGCAAUUGGCUCAGCAGUAAGCCAGAAAGGUCAGUGGUUUAUCUGUCCUUUGGCAGUUUCUGUGGUUUAAGUGACAACCAAAUGGAGGAACUUUUGUGGGGUUUAAAGAGAAGCAAUUUCUAUUUCUUGUGGGUAAUUAGGGCUACUGAGGAAGCAAAACUACCCAAAACAUUCAAGGAAAAUUUGGGUGAUAAGGGCCUUAUAGUGAACUGGAGUUGUCAAGUAAAAGUGCUAACCAACAAAGCUGUGGGAUGCUUUCUGACCCAUUGUGGUUGGAACUCAACAAUUGAGGCAAUGAGCUUGGGUGUGCCUAUGGUGGCAAUGCCAUUAUGGAGCGACCAACCGGUGAAUGCCAAACUUGUCGAGGAUGUUUGGAAGGUGGGAAUUAGAGUUAAGGUUGAUGAGGAAAAAGGGAUUGUGCCAAGAGAUGAGAUUGAGUUCUGCAUAAGAGAAAUAAUGGAGGGUGAAAAAGGGAAAGAGGUGAAGAAGAAUGUUGAGAAAUGGAGUGAGUUGGCCAUUGAGGCUGUUAGUAAAGGUGGGACUUCUGAUAAGAAUAUUGAUGAAUUCGUAUCAAAAUUGGUAAAGACUUGAAUUAAGAGUACUUGGUGCUUCAUUAGGCUAUAUUAUGCAUAUUGGAUUUGCUUAGUCCUUUUCCUUGCAUAAUAAGAGAUGAUUUAGUGUGUCUGAAGUAUUCCACAUUUAUGAAUUCGGAGGAGAAUUGAUCAUGUAGCCUUAUCAUUGCUUUGCAGAUAAACUGUUUGCCGUUUAACGUGAAGGAAUUAAUUAGUACUCCCAUCACUAUUGUAGUUUUUGUGGAUUUUUCAUGUUUUGUUCCACCUUCAUCCAGCUAAAUGCCUCUUUGUAAUGCACUUCUUGUAAUCAAUAUUUUUAUAAUUGUCAAAAAAUAAUGAAAAAGAACAAAGAAUAUGUGCUCAAAAAA
rnacentral:misc_RNA from 1 species